UGUGGAUAGCGGAGAAAUUCCAAUCGAACUCGGAGAUAGCUGGUUCUCCUCGAAAUAGUUUUAGGACUAGCCUUGUUUAGUAGUAUGUGGGGGUAGAGCACUGAAUGAGCUAGGGGCCAAACCAGGUUACUGAACUCUAUCAAACUCCGAAUACCAUGUACGUAAGAACAGGAGUCAGACUGCGGGAGCUAAGUUCCGUGGUCAAAAGGGAAAGAGCCCAGAUCGUCAAUUAAGGUCCCAAAGAUAUAGUUAAGUGGAAAACGAUGUGAUUUUGCGUAAACAACCAGGAUGUUGGCUUAGAAGCAGCCAUUCAUUUAAAGAGUGCGUAAUAGCUCACUGGUCGAGUGAAGUUGCGCGGAAAAUUACCGGGGCUAAACUAUACACCGAAAUUGCGGAUUUGCAUAGAAAUAUGUAAGUGGUAGAGGAGCAUUCUAUAGUAGGACGAAGCAUAAUCGAAAGGAUAUGUGGACGAGAUAGAAGAGAGAAUGCCGGAAUAAGUAGCGAAAGCAUGGUGAGAAUCCAUGCCAUCGAAAGUCUAAGGUUUCCUGGGGAAGGUUCGUCCGCCCAGGGUAAGUCGGGACCUAAGGAGAGGCCGAAAAGCGUAUCCGAUGGACAGCAGGUAGAAAUUCCUGCACUACGUAAUACUUAAAAGACAUAAAUGACACAGGAGUGGAAGAUAAGCGAGGAAGAGGAAAGACUCGUAUCGAAAGAUAUAGUGAAAUUAAAGUAACGAAUUAUCAAGAAGCUAAUGGCGAGAAAAGUUUAUGGAUAUUGUAUUAAGUACCCGUACCGCAAACCGACACAGGUAGAUGAGGAGAAGAUCCUAAGAUGAGCGAGAGAAGCAUUGUUAAGGAACUCGGCAAACUGACCCCGUAACUUCGGAAUAAGGGGUGCUGGAGUAGAAUCCAGUCGCAGAGAAUAGUCCCAAGCAACUGUUUAACAAAAACACAGGUUUCUGCUAAAUCGAAAGAUGAAGUAUAGGAGCUGACGCCUGCCCAGUGCUGGAAGGUUAAGGGGAAGAGUUAGAUGUAAGUCGAAGCUUAGAACCAAAGCCCCAGUGAACGGCGGCCGUAACUAUAACGGUCCUAAGGUAGCGAAAUUCCUUGUCAGGUAAGUUCUGACCCGCACGAAAGGUGUAAUGAUUUGGGAGCUGUCUCGACAAUGUACUCGGCGAAAUUGUAGUACUAGUGAAGAUGCUAGUUACCUGCGACAAGACAGAAAGACCCCAUGGAGCUUUACUGCAGCUUGAUACUGGGUUUCGGUAAUUUAUGUACAGGAUAGGUGGGAUGCUAAGAAGUAUGUGCGCCAGCGCAUAUGGAGCAGACGUUGGGAUACCACCCUUAAAUUACUGGAAUUCUAACUAUAAGUCCUAAGCGGGCUUGAGGACAAUGUCAGGCGGGCAGUUUGACUGGGGCGGUCGCCUCCUAAAGAGUAACGGAGGCGCGCAAAGGUUUCCUCAGCGCGGACAGAAAUCGCGCGAAAGAGUGCAAAGGCAGAAGGAAGCUUAACUGAGAGACUGACAAGUCGACCAGAUACGAAAGUAGGUCUUAGUGAUCCGGUGGUUGUAAGUGGAAAUGCCAUCGCUCAACGGACAAAAGUUACCCUGGGGAUAACAGGCUUAUCUCCCCCAAGAGUUCACAUCGACGGGGAGGUUUGGCACCUCGAUGUCGGCUCAUCACAUCCUGGAGCGGAAGUACGUUCCAAGGGUUGGGCUGUUCGCCCAUUAAAGUGGUACGCGAGCUGGGUUCAGAACGUCGUGAGACAGUUCGGUCCUUAUCUGUCGCAGGCGAAGGAUAUUUGAAGGGAGUUGACCUUAGUACGAGAGGACCAGGUUGAAGGAACCGAUGGUGCACCAGUUGUACUACCAAGUGCAUAGCUGGAUAGCUAAGUUCCGAAGGGAUAAACGCUGAAAGCAUCUAAGUGUGAAGCCCACCCUAAGAUAAGAUAUCCCAUAUCGAAAGAUAGUAAGAUUCCAAUAAGACUAAUUGGUAGAUAGGUUGGAGGUGUAAGUAUAGUGAUAUAUUGAGCUGACCAAUACUAAUAAAUCGAGGGCUUAACUAU
rnacentral:rRNA from 1 species